UCAGAAAGCUCGCUUCAGACCGUGAUAUCCCAGCUUUCUUGUACUGUAUAAUGUAAUAUACACCCACCCACUCACAAAGUGUUGCAUGCAUGUGCUAUGAACAAGAGCUCUUGUUUUCAUAGACUACGCGAGCUAGGUUGGGGGGAGCAGAUGUGAUUAUUAUUCAGUCAGCGCCGUUUUUCUCCCAGAAAAAGGAUAAUACAAUUUACCAUUUGCAACGAUAGCCAAUCAAAUUACGGGCAAUUUUACUCCCAGCCAGUUGGACAACUGGUGAUGGCGGCCUUGGCCAAUCAGAUUCAUUUCUGAAGCUCCACUUCAACUCCCACAGGGAGCUAGUUAAUUGCAGGACAACGUUUCCCGAUUCUGGCAUGACCCACCCAAUACAGACAACCCAUCAACCAUGCAAUCUAGUUGAAGCAAUGACAUCUCUGAACAGGUGACUGGAAUCAGUGAUGGAAUAGAUGAUGGCAAAUAAACGAACUCAAUCUAGAUGAAAUAUUUUACCGUGGCGCAGAGUGAGUUGAAUUCAAGAUCAGAUAUGCAAUCAUUCAAGGAAGAUUAAGGCAAUUUAAAUUUCUGUUCAGCAGAUGAUUCAUAGUUCACUAUGACUUACAGGAACAACCAGUAAAAUUGCAUGCAACCUAUCCAGUUGAAGAUGGAGGCUGUCAAAGGCCUUGGAACUGGGCCAGUGCUAGUGGGAAGAGGAAGAAGCUGCUGCCCAGGACAGACACUUGAAGAACAGGAAGUAUACGAAAGGCAGGCUUUUGUCCCUUCUUGAUUUAUUAAAAAAAUUUUUUUAGCUCAACCAGUGGUGAACUUAAAACUAUUUUCAUUCUGGACUUGAUAAUCAUAUGAACACAGAGUUCUUACAGUACUAA